AGAGUUUGAUCAUGGCUCAGAACGAACGCUGGCGGCAGGCCUAACACAUGCAAGUCGAACGAAGUCUUCGGACUGAGUGGCGGACGGGUGAGUAACACGUGGGAACCUAUCCUUUGGCGCGGAAUAACAGAGGGAAACUUCUGCUAAUACCGCAUACGCCCUAAGGGGGAAAGAUUUAUCGCCAAAGGAGGGGCCCGCGUAGGAUUAGCUAGUUGGUGGGGUAAUGGCCUACCAAGGCAGCGAUCCUUAGCUGGUCUGAGAGGAUGAUCAGCCACACUGGGACUGAGACACGGCCCAGACUCCUACGGGAGGCAGCAGUGGGGAAUAUUGGACAAUGGGGGCAACCCUGAUCCAGCCAUGCCGCGUGAAUGAAGAAGGCCCUAGGGUUGUAAAGUUCUUUCACUCGUGAGGAUGAUGACAGUAGCGAGAGAAGAAGCCCCGGCUAACUCCGUGCCAGCAGCCGCGGUAAUACGGAGGGGGCAAGCGUUGUUCGGAUUUACUGGGCGUAAAGGGCGCGUAGGCGGCAUGCCAAGUUGGGGGUGAAAGGCCUGGGCUUAACCUAGGAACUGCCUUCAAAA
rnacentral:rRNA from 1 species